rnacentral:rRNA from 1 species
GAUGAACGCUGGCGGCGCGCCUAACACAUGCAAGUCGAACGGAGCGAUAGAGCGGAAGUUUUCGGAUGGAAGCUGUAUAGCUUAGUGGCGGACGGGGGAGUAACGCGUGAGCAACCUGCCUUUCAGAGGGGGAUAACGAUUGGAAACGAUCGCUAAUACCGCAUAACGUCCGGAUGGGACAUCCUGUCUGGACCAAAGGAGAAAUCCGCUGAGAGAUGGGCUCGCGUCCAAUUAGCUGGUUGGCGGGGUAAAGGCCCACCAAGGCGACGAUUGGUAGCCGGACUGAGAGGUUGAACGGCCACAUUGGGACUGAGACACGGCCCAG